UUUUAGCCCCGAUUGUAGUGGAAAUCCUUUUUUACUUUUUUUGUCUUUAGACAUCCCGAAAUUUCGGGACAGGAUGACAAAAAAAUUAAAAAAGAUUGAAACGGAAAGCGGGAACAUGG
rnacentral:sRNA from 1 species